UUUCACCCAUACACCCAGAGUGAUAUAAAAUGAUUUGGAAAUUGAUUUUUAAAACUUUUGACUUGGUACUUCUCCCAGACAGGGGAACUGAUUUUAAAAUGAUUUUUAUUAUCAAAAAAGCUUAAAAAUGGGGGAAUCUGCAGUUGCUGAUUGGAGUUCAAGGAUUAUAUCAAUCAAUUCUGCUGCGGCGGCCAGGAUGAUACCCAACAAAAUGAUAGGGGUCGUGUUUAUCUGGAAGAAGCAGGAAAGAGAGCGAUCUUGUGCACUCGUCUUCAGAUGAACCUGAAGAGAAGAAGAUUUCGGUGCAGUGUGUAGACGACCCGGUGCCUUUAAAGCCCAUGGUGUAUUAUGAUGAUGAUGAGAUCUUCAGAAUGAUGCAUCAGUCACCAGUGGACGCUGGAGGAGACGACUGAAUUUGCAGUUCUGAAUAUAUUAAAAACUUAAAAUGUGAUCAUGUGUUCAUGUAGUCUUUAGACUGGUUGAAACAAACGAACAUACAAACCUACAAGGCCUCAUCAAUGGCAUCAUCAAUGAUAAAAAAAUGAUAUUGAAAUUCCCAACAUGUCUGUUAGGAGCGCCCUCUUGUGGCUGGUGGUGAUAUCGUUAAGUAUAUUUAAUUACUUGUACUUUUAUUACAUAAAUUAAAUCAAUCAUUGUAUAACAUGCUAAUAAAUAUGUCAUACAUUAAAGCACAUAGAGGGGACUUCAACAAGAGAAAGUAGAAGCAUUUAAACUUAAAAAAGGGGGAUUUAUUUUACAGAAUACUUUAUUAAUAACUCUUUUAAACAAGUUUACUAGAGAGAGCACGCAUGUAGGACGUUUUGGAGACAAGGUGAAGGGAGGAUUGAGAUAGUUUGGACAUGUGCAGAGAAGGGAAAUUUGGUAUAUUUCGGGCUAAGAGCAAAAGAGGAAGACCAAGAAGGAGGUUUAUGGAUGUGGUGAGGGAAGACAUGCAGGUAGUUGGUUUUAAAGAGGCAGAUGUAGAGAAAAGGGGGGUAUGGAGACGGAUGAUCCAUAAUGAGAGAAGCCAGAAGAAGAAGAAGAAGAAAAAGAAGAGGACUUUAUGAAUAACUUUGGGAAUUUUUCCUGGGCUAGCAGCAGUUGCUCAGAUAAUAAACUAAUUGUUUACUAAGGUAGUUAGCUUCAAGGUUACACAACAUACAUUUUUAGUGUGAUUGUUUGCUUUCAAUUGUUUGUUUACCAUUAUUGUACAUUUGAUUUGAUAAUCAGUACCUUUUCAACUUGAAAUAAACAACAACAACAACAACAUGGAUUUGCUGGUAGAGAAAAGCAGAACACUUUUGACAAAACAAUUGUGAACGUGUAGUUUUGGGCUGUAGUUUGUCUCUGCAGGUUCUUCUUCUCUACAGUGUUUACACUCAACACUUUAUACACUUUUGUUUCUUGCAUUUGGAGUAACGUGACUUUGUAGUUUGGUAAAUCAUGUCUUAUGUCUUUUUUCCUUAUGUCCUUAAAUUAUGUCAUAAGCUGAGUAAGAAUUUCACUGUAUGGUGUAGACUUAACAAUAAACCCUUGAAUCUUCAUUUUCAGAACAUGCAUAUACAGUUAUAAAGAGCCUGUUGGGCAUCUGUAAAAUAAAUUGUUUAAUAAUUAAAUAAUUGUAUAAUAAUAUCAUUGUAAUCUUAUAAUAUUUUGACUAAUUAUAAACUUUUAAAAUAAACUUGUUAUAAAUGUAUAGCAGUUGAAUUCGGGACACAAUCUGAUCAAAUUAAGUGCCAACCGCGCCCUCUUGUGGCCAUAUGUAAUUAAAAAAGUUUCAUAUAUUUUAUUUGCCACAAGAGAGCGCUGUUAUCACUUAAUUUAAUUAGGUUAAUUGCACAAACGUUAAAUUAAAAGUACUCAAUAAGAUUUUCAGGAUUUAAAAUGGUUCCCAGGAUAGAGAGUCUUGAAGCGACCAUUAGUAAAUCAUGUUAUUUUUUAAAAAUUAUGAUCACCAUUAUUGUAUUUAACUGGAAAGUGUGUAGGCAUUUGAAGAUAAUGGUGGCAGACCAGGGAAUAAUUGGGAAAAAAAGAGCAGUACACAGAGAGCAGAAGAAGGUAUAUAAAGCCUGUGUUGACUGUUUUUGGGUGUUUUGAUGGAAUUGCCUGGAUUUAUUUCUGCUAAAUAAAGGCUUCUUCUUUGACACCACAA